rnacentral:rRNA from 1 species
GACGAACGCUGGCGGCGUGCUUAACACAUGCAAGUCGAGCGGCGCGGCGAACGGGUGAGUAACGCGUGAGUAACUGCCCCCCUCUCUGGGAUAACAGUUGGAAACGGCUGCUAAUACCGGAUAGUGGGGGAUGACUCGCGUCCUAUCAGCUUGUUGGUGGGGUAGUGGCCUACCAAGGCGACGACGGGUAGCCGGCCUGAGCGGGCGACCGGCCACAUUGGGCUGAGAGACGGCCCAGAAUCGUACGGGAGGCAUCAGUGGGGAAUAGUGCACAAUGGGGGAAAGCCAGAUGCAGCAACGCCGCGUGCGGAAUGACGGCCUGCGGGUUGUAAACCGCUUUCAGCCAUGACGCGGUAGUGGCAGAAGAAGCACCGGCUAACUACGUGCCAGCAGCCGCGGUAAUUC